UCGGCACGUACUGCGUUUCAUUUCCAACGCUUUUAGUUUGUGUCAACUGUCGCAAAAAGUUUCACGGACGCGUUUGUUGCGUCGCAGCGCAGGACGCGUCAAAUGUGAGAGUGGGACGGUUCCCGUCCGCUGCCAGUGUGUGUGUGUUUAUAUGUUUGUCUUUAAUAAUUACAAAUUACAAUCUGAGGGGAGCGUCAGUUGGCAUGGGCGUCAAACAGAGCAGUCCCGCGGCCAACGGACGCACGCGGGCGUACUCUGGCUCGGAUCUGCCAUCGGGCACGGCGUCGAGUAACGGCAACGGCCGAACGGCGGCGGUGGCGAUGAGAUAUCACGGGCACGGCGCGUCAGGUGCGACAUCAUCAUCAUCAUCGUCAUCAUCUGCGGCGGUGGCCGCUCAUUAUAUCGGUCCCAGGACGCGAUCUGUAGGGGCUGUUGGUGGUACCGGCGGUGGCCUGGGCGUCAGACCGCAGUCGGGCAUUAAUAUACCGAACUCUGGAGCGUAUAGUUCUCAGGAGUCCGGAAACAGCACACCGGAGGAGAACGCCGGAGAUAGAGAGCGGUCAACCGGGACUCCGAGACUGUUGAUCGGAUCUCUACCUGCCCACCUGUCGCCUCAUCUCUUUGGAGGUUUCAAGUGCCCCGUCUGCUCAAAGUUCAUCUCUUCAGAUGAAAUGGACCUUCAUCUCGUCAUGUGCUUGACUAAACCUCGAGUGACCUACAAUGAGGACGUUCUGGUGAAGGAUGCAGGAGAAUGUGCAAUAUGUCUAGAGGAGCUGGUUCAGGGCGACACCAUCGCCCGCCUGCCCUGCCUCUGCAUCUAUCACAAAGGCUGUAUUGAUGAGUGGUUUGAAGUGAACAGAUCAUGUCCAGAGCAUCCUUCAGAUUAAACACACCUCUGUCACCUAUGCACAGUUCCUGUCACUUUAACUGACUUGUCUGAUGAUAAAAAGGUUUUUAUCCUCCUGGUCGUGAGAAGCGAUGUAUGCUACUAGCGGACAGCAAUGUGAACUGUCUUCCUCAUCUGGACACUGUGACUUUGGCUUGUUCAGGCUGAGCGGGGUGGCCUGAUCACUCAAACCCCACCCACUUUUCCCAUAGCUCCGCCCCCUUUCCAGUCUCCAUAUAUAAACCCCAAUGUGCCAAAACUCAUUCAAGCAAUCUUCAGGGAAACUCUGUGCUGUUGACUCUCUUCCCACAUCUCGAUAAUACAGAAACUACAGCGACGCCACAGGCACGCCAACUCAAGAUCUCAGAUAAUAGAUUUGCUCCUCUGUUGCACAAUUUUUCAAUCAGGAAACAGUGAAGAUGUUCUGAUUAUUCUGCUAAAAAAAAAAAAAAAAAUGCCUAAUCAGAUUUUUGUCUUGUGUUCCAGUAAAAUAUCUUUCAAACAUCCUUAAAACUCGAUGCAUUUAAUUGAGAAGCAAAAUGGUGUAAGAUAAAAAGACUUUAGAAUUAGCCCAAUGGCAAAUCAAGCAUAAACCUCUCUAAAUUUAGUUAUAUUUAUGCUUACAUUUUUACUGGAUAAUAAGACAAAAAUACUGAGUAAUGAAAAUAGUUUUUUUUGUAUUGUGCACUACAAAGGUAGCCACUCACAGACACUUGUCGGUUCAUUUCAUUGGCUGUUUUACAGACUGGGACCGCUCUGAUUGGCUGGACUCAGGGACAGCUGACUGUCUCAUUUAAUUCACGGAUUAUCGGGGUUGAUUAUACUCCAAGACUUUCUGCGGGGACUGUAUCUACCAGUGCCUUCAUUUUCAAAUCCUAAGAGCCGCGGUGGCUGCGUUUUGUUUGCCCCUUAGUGGACGGGCGCGAUGGACUCAAGAAAAGACAAAGUUAUGAUUUCAUUAGCCAUUUCGCUCGUGCCUGGAUAUGACGGGCCAGUCCAGUGAUUUCUGAUUCUGGGCGGCCCUGAGCCAUACUGAGAUUAACAGUGCCCUGCGCCCAUAUGGCGCCCUCUUUCACUCACAUCUGUUUCUAUGGAGUCGAGGCGGUCGUUGUUUCCC